GCUGCCCUCUGGCGGCGUGCUUAACACAUGCAAGUCGAACGAUGAAGCCCAGCUUGCUGGGUGGAUUAGUGGCGAACGGGUGAGUAACACGUGAGUAACCUGCCCUUAACUCUGGGAUAAGCCUGGGAAACUGGGUCUAAUACCGGAUAGGAGCGCCUACCGCAUGGUGGGUGUUGGAAAGAUUUAUCGGUUUUGGAUGGACUCGCGGCCUAUCAGCUUGUUGGUGAGGUAAUGGCUCACCAAGGCGACGACGGGUAGCCGGCCUGAGAGGGUGACCGGCCACACUGGGACUGAGACACGGCCCAGACUCCUACGGGAGGCAGCAGUGGGGAAUAUUGCACAAUGGGCGGAAGCCUGAUGCAGCGACGCCGCGUGAGGGAUGACGGCCUUCGGGUUGUAAACCUCUUUCAGUAGGGAAGAAGCGAAAGUGACGGUACCUGCAGAAGAAGCACCGGCUAACUACGUG
rnacentral:rRNA from 1 species